rnacentral:ncRNA from 2 species
GUGGGAGCGAGCUUGCUCGCGAUGGCGUCGGAUCAGUCAGCAUGGAUGUUGGCUGACACUCCGCAAUCGCGAGCAAGCUCGCUCCCAC